UUUCACUAUUCUUCAAGUCCGCUCUUUUCAAACUCUCUGAGUCCUCUCCGUUGUCCCUCAAAACCCCCUCAAAUCUCUAUUCCAUUGUGAUUUUCUGAGUGCAUUGAGUGCCAUAGCUCUCAAAUCAAAGUUUGCUAUUGCUAAGCACCGUAGGAACUCCCGUUCAAUUGAGAAGAGGGCAAAACAUCGGCAAAAAGUGUCCGAAGGGCAUCCCCACUCUCCUUCUCAUCCUCCUCAACUAUUCAUGGCAACAAGAGUAGUCACC
rnacentral:lncRNA from 1 species